AACCUAGCACACCUGCGGUGUGUACCUGCGGAGGGAUCAUUACAGAGAACAACGAGGCCGUGGGCCGCCCGCACUGGGCGGCUCCCGGUCGCGCUCUUCUACCUUGCCUAUCGUACCAUUCGUUACUUCCUGGCGGCGGACUGCCUGCCGCCAGGGACAGUAAAACCCUUUUGUAUAAGCAUUGAAGUCCUGAAAAUGAAACAAAUCGUACAACUUUUAACAAUGGAUCUCAGAUCGGAA
rnacentral:misc_RNA from 1 species